CUACGGGGUGCUGCAGUGGGGAAUAUUGGACAAUGGGCGAAAGCCUGAUCCAGCCAUGCCGCGUGUGUGAAGAAGGCCUUCGGGUUGUAAAGCACUUUCAGUGGGGAAGAAAGCCUUGGGGCUAAUACCCUCGAGGAAGGACAUCACCCACAGAAGAAGCACCGGCUAACUCCGUGCCAGCAGCCGCGGUAAUACGGAGGGUGCGAGCGUUAAUCGGAAUUACUGGGCGUAAAGCGCGCGUAGGCGGUCUGAUAAGCCGGUUGUGAAAGCCCCGGGCUCAACCUGGGAACGGCAUCCGGAACUGUCAGGCUAGAGUGCAGGAGAGGAAGGUAGAAUUCCCGGUGUAGCGGUGAAAUGCGUAGAGAUCGGGAGGAAUACCAGUGGCGAAGGCGGCCUUCUGGACUGACACUGACGCUGAGGUGCGAAAGCGUGGGUAGCAAACAGGAUUAGAUACCCCGGUAGUC
rnacentral:rRNA from 1 species